rnacentral:rRNA from 1 species
AUUGAACGCUGGCGGCAUGCUUUACACAUGCAAGUCGAGCGGUAACAGGCCGCAAGGUGCUGACGAGUGGCGCACGGGUGAGUAAUGCAUCGGAACGUGCCCAGCCGUGGGGGAUAACUACUCGAAAGAGUAGCUAAUACCGCAUACGAUCUAUGGAUGAAAGCGGGGGACCGUAAGGCCUCGCGCGAUUGGAGCGGCCGAUGUCAGAUUAGGUAGUUGGUGGGGUAAAGGCUCACCAAGCCAACGAUCUGUAGCUGGUCUGAGAGGACGACCAGCCACACUGGGACUGAGACACGGCCCAGACUCCUACGGGAGGCAGCAGUGGGGAAUUUUGGACAAUGGGCGCAAGCCUGAUCCAGCAAUGCCGCGUGCAGGAAGAAGGCCUUCGGGUUGUAAACUGCUUUUGUACGGAACGAAACGGCUCUGGUUAAUACCCGGGGCUAAUGACGGUACCGUAAGAAUAAGCACCGGCUAACUACGUG